rnacentral:rRNA from 1 species
UACGUAGGGGGCAAGCGUUGUCCGGAAUCAUUGGGCGUAAAGCGCGUGUAGGCGGCCCGGUAAGUCCGCUGUGAAAGUCGGGGGCUCAACCCUCGAAUGCCGGUGGAUACUGUCGGGCUCGAGUCCGGAAGAGGCGAGUGGAAUUCCUGGUGUAGCGGUGAAAUGCGCAGAUAUCAGGAGGAACACCAAUGGCGAAGGCAGCUCGCUGGGACGUGACUGACGCUGAGACGCGAAAGCGUGGGGAGCAAACAGG